GUUGAACAAUCAACUCCUAUUUCAAAAAAAUGGUUUUUGGGUUUAAUCAAUGGGAAGAUGGAAAAUUGCUUUUGAAGGUUCCUUGGUAUUGUCCUAGGGAAAGUUGAGCCAGCUGAUUGCCAGCAUGGGGCCCAAGGUUCUGAUGUGAUUACUUUCUUCAAGAAUCAGAAUGACUGCAGCCUCUUCACCUAAAUUUCAUAAUGAAGCAACAAAAGCCAAGAGCCCUCUCAGCACACUAAGUGGAAGAAGCUCCUUGGCAUGUAUGGGAAUAAAUCUGACAACCUAUCUGGACUAAGGCAUCACUCAAGCUAUCGCUAUAGAGAAAGAAAGAUGGUCACAGAUUCAGGUAAUUAAGGGGUAAGCCUCUAGUAUUUGGAGUUCCUCUCUUCUUUUAGGCCAAAUCCCAGAGCAGCAGAUCGCCACCUGAUCUUGGUCUUCUCAAAGUUGCACCUCGCACUGAGCUGAGCAUUAGAUAGGAAUUCAAUCAGUUUUGGCCAAUGGAGGAGUCUCUAUUUGAAGUAGAUCAAGCCUCUGUACUUAGGGCCUAUGUCGCUCUGCUCUGAAAGGCCCAUACAGUGCCUAUUCUAUGUGAACUUGUGUCCAAAAGAACUAAUACUCAGAAGAAGCUGACUGAGGGGAGAGAGAAGACAAGCCAUUGCGGACAGAGCCCAGAGUAAGAAUUAAAGUGAGAGGUGGGACUGAGCAGUGUGUGCAGCUAAGAAAAUGAUUCCAGGCUGGGAGUGAAUGAGAGUCAAGAGAAAUGAGAUAAUACCUCUUCCUGGAUGGUGCUAGAAAGUGCUGGGUGUCCACCCUCACCUUUCAUCAGAGAAAUCACAGUCAUCAUUAGUGCAAACAGAGAUCUUCUCCUGCAGUAUUUAACCAGGGAUCUAUGCCCCUUUCUAUAAAUGGAGAGAGAUAAGUAGGGAGAAAAGGUUAGGCCACCAUUUAUCAGACAAAUUAGUAUGUGCCAGACAAUUUACUAAAUACUGUAUCAAAAGUAUACUCAUUGAAUUCAUAGAGCAAUUCUAUUGAUACAUUCAUUUAUUCAUUCAAACUAACUAUAGUCAGCAUUCAGUUGUCCUGGGCACU
rnacentral:lncRNA from 1 species